rnacentral:rRNA from 1 species
GACAGAGGUGCCGAGCGUUAGGCGGAAUCACUGGGCUUAAAGCGUGUGUAGGCGGGCGAUCGAGUACCUUGUGAAAUCCCACGGCUCAACCGUGGAACCGCUGGGUAUACUGGUUGUCUUGAGCCGGCUAGGGGCGAGCGGAACAGACGGUGGAGCGGUGAAAUGCGUAGAUAUCGUCUGGAACGCCGAAGGUGAAAACAGCUCGCUGGGGCCGCGCUGACGCCGAGACACGAAAGCCAGGGGAGCGAACGGG